rnacentral:tRNA from 1 species
GGUUAUAGCUCAGUGGUAGAGCUCUUGCCUAGCACGUGUGAGGCACUGGGUUUGAUCCUCAGCACCA